UCAUGUUUCCUCUAAUCUUUAGGUGAUGCUUAAAAGGUAAUUUCGCAAAUAUUGCCAGGCUGAGAUACCAACUUUAUGAAAUGUCAAUCUCUUGAUAUACUUAUUGGCAAUUUGGUUGCAAUUGUACAAAGCAGUGGGGAAGGGAAGACUUCUCUUAUUUCUACAAUGCCGGGUGAAAUAUAUACCACCAGUGUCAGGAUCGAAUACCGUAGUGGUCCUUCGUGGAUCAGUGGCUUAUGUUUCUCAAGUUUCAUGGACCUUCAAUGCUGCUGUCUGGGACAACAUGUAUAUUGCUUGGUCCUCCCAUCCAACCUUCACUCUACCAGAAAGCAAUAGGUGUCACUUCAUUAGGGCAUGACCUUGGCCUACUACCAGGUGGUGCCCUAACAGAGAUUGGAGAAAGAGGAGUUAACAUUACCAGGGGUCAAAAGCAAAAAGUCUCAAUGGCAAGAGCGGAUGCCCAUGUUGGUCGACAGUGGGAGGAACAACCUGAAGGGAACCAGCAUGAAAGCGAAACACAUGAUGGCAUAAGACAUGCUGAAAGUGGGGAUAGCGUAAUAAUUGAUGGUGGUCCACAGAAGAGCCAGGAUCCUAACAGAACAAAACCAGGAAAAAUCUAUUCUUAUUAAACAAGAAGAAGACAAACUGGAGUUAUAAGUGUGAAGGUCCUUUCAUCGUAAGAUUAUAUUGGAUCGUAGUGCGAUAGUAUAUUUAAUGUAUGAUGCAGAUACAAGGAAGAUACAGGAUGUGGCGGAUAAGGAGCCAGUACUACAAGGGGUUUUAGUAAAAUUAAUGUUGGGCUGAAAUUACUUUGAUGCUCUUGGAAGUUUACUUGGUUCAGAAACAUCACACCCAACGGUGCAGAAAUAGAUGUGGAGAAUUUGAGGUGUGCUUAGAUUGGGAAAGUGGUACUCUAGAAAGGCUUAUAUUUGUGAACAGAGGGAGUAAUGCCUUAACCUUUGCAUCUAUAAAAAUGCAUUGGGAAGAAUCUGGGUUGUGUUUGUUCUCUUCUUUUGCUACGUACUCAUCUAUGUUCUUCGCAUUUCAAGUAGCACAUGGUUGAGUGGCUGAACAGAUCAAGGUUCUGUCAAAACCCAUGGCGUUGAUUACUACAAUUUAAUAUAUGGCUUUCUUUGUUUGGGCAGGUGGCGGCGCCGCUUCGCGGGGAGGAACUCAACCGACACUCAAGCACCGUGCUUACAUUAAGCUAUAGCCAGGCGGCGCG